rnacentral:rRNA from 1 species
UACAGAGGGGGCAAGCGUUGUUCGGAAUUACUGGGCGUAAAGGGCGCGUAGGCGGCCUGCUAAGUCGAACGUGAAAUCCCUGGGCUCAACCCAGGAACUGCGUCCGAUACUGGUUGGCUUGAAUCCGGGAGAGGGAUGUGGAAUUCCAGGUGUAGCGGUGAAAUGCGUAGAUAUCUGGAGGAACACCGGUGGCGAAGGCGGCAUCCUGGACCGGUAUUGACGCUGAGGCGCGAAAGCCAGGGGAGCAAACAGG